rnacentral:rRNA from 1 species
UACGGAGGGUGCGAACGUUAAUCGGAAUCACUGGGCGUAAAGCGCGCGUAGGCGGUCUGUUAAGUGGGAUGUGAAAUCCCCGGGCUUAACCUGGGAAUUGCAUUUCAAACUGGCCGACUAGAGUACGGUAGAGGGAGGUAGAAUUUCCUGUGUAGCGGUGAAAUGCGUAGAUAUAGGAAGGAAUACCAGUGGCGAAGGCGGCCUCCUGGAUCGAUACUGACACUGAGGUGCGAAAGCGUGGGGAGCAAACAGG